rnacentral:rRNA from 1 species
CAGUAGCCGCGGUAAUACGUAGGUGGCAAGCGUUGUCCGGAAUUAUUGGGCGUAAAGGGCUCGCAGGCGGUUUCUUAAGUCUGAUGUGAAAGCCCCCGGCUCAACCGGGGAGGGUCAUUGGAAACUGGGAAACUUGAGUGCAGAAGAGGAGAGUGGAAUUCCACGUGUAGCGGUGAAAUGCGUAGAGAUGUGGAGGAACACCAGUGGCGAAGGCGACUCUCUGGUCUGUAACUGACGCUGAGGAGCGAAAGCGUGUGGAGCGAACAGGAUUAGAUACCCCGGUAGUCCCUGUCUCUUAUAC